GUGAGGAAUAUUGGUCAAUGGGCGGGAGCCUGAACCAGCCAAGUCGCGUGAAGGAAGAAUGAUCUAUGGUUCGUAAACUUCUUUUGCAGGGGAAUAAAGUGCAGGACGUGUCCUGUUUUGUAUGUACCCUGAGAAUAAGGAUCGGCUAACUCCGUGCCAGCAGCCGCGGUAAUACGGAGGAUCCGAGCGUUAUCCGGAUUUAUUGGGUUUAAAGGGUGCGUAGGUGGUUUGAUAAGUCAGCGGUGAAAGUUUGCAGCUUAACUGUAAAAAUGCCGUUGAAACUGUCGGACUUGAGUGUAAAUGAGGUAGGCGGAAUGCGUGGUGUAGCGGUGAAAUGCAUAGAUAUCACGCAGAACUCCGAUUGCGAAGGCAGCUUACUAAGCUACAACUGACACUGAAGCACGAAAGCGUGGGGAUCAAACAGGAUUAGAAACCCGAGUAGUCC
rnacentral:rRNA from 1 species